GCCUCGUAGCUUAGUGGUUAGAGCGCUCGCCUCGUAAGCGAGAGGACCUGGGUUCGAUUCCCAGGCGGGACG